rnacentral:rRNA from 1 species
CUACGGGGAGGCAGCAGUAGGGAAUCUUCGGCAAUGGGGGCAACCCUGACCGAGCAAGCCGCGUGAGUGAAGAAGGUUUUCGGAUCGUAAAGCUCUGUUGUAAGUCAAGAACGGGUGUGAGAGUGGAAAGUUCCCCCUCGGACGGUCGCUUACCAGAAAGGGACGGCUAACUACGUGCCACCAGCCGCGGUAAUACUUAGGUCCCAAGCGUUGUCCGGAUUUAUGGGGCGUAAAGGGAGCGCAGGCGGUUUGAUAAUUCUGAAGUUAAAGGCUGUGGCUCACCCGUAAUUCGCUUUGGAAACUGUCAAACUUGAGUGCAGAAGGGGAGAGUGGAAUUCCAUGUGUAGCGGUGAAAUGCGUAGAUAUAUGGAGGAACACCGGUGGCGAAAGCGGCUCUCUGGUCUGUAACUGACGCUGAGGCUCGAAAGCGUGGGGAGCGAACAGGAUUAGAUACCCUUGGGUAG